AGUUUGAACUUCAGCAACUCAUCUUCACCACAUCACAAUGCCUAAAUGCAUUGAGUUGCCGCCGUGUGAUUGGUUGAUUAGCCAUUUGUGUUACCAAGUAAUUGGACAGGUGUACCUAAUGAAGUGGCUGAUGUGUGUAUAUUUCAUGU